rnacentral:misc_RNA from 1 species
UCAGGUGCGUGGGCGUGA